UUCAUCAUUUUUUGACCAACAGUUUGCCAGUCAGUGUCAGUGCUGACAAGUUCCCUGUGGAGUGCUCUCAGACUCUCCAUCAGAAAAUGCUCAAAGAUCAAUCUUUAAAGAGCAGAUGUGCUUUACCCACACCACGGAGCACGGUAGCUUUUUUCCUACUCCCUUGGCUGUGGAUAUUCUAAGGACCUCAAGGCAGAUGUGGUCUUUCACCCUCACCCAGGAAAUCUUAGAACUGUCCAAGGUGUUCUCUCUCAGGAAGGAGCUUGAAGCUGGAGAAAAAUCUGUCUGAUGGAGCUUGUCAUCAUCUUCAGUACCGGAAUCAGCUCGCAGUCUAUUCCACUCAACUUCAACACAACUGGAAAUCUGUUAGCACUGACUCUCUGUGGUCCUCCAACCUCAACCACACAUCUGAGAUGGAUUAAAUAAAUGCCAUGUGCCAACUCUA